AACGUAGGGGGUGAGCGUUGUCCGGAAUUACUGGGCGUAAAGGGCGUGUAGGCGGUCAUUUAAGUCAGAGGUGAAAACUACCGGCUUAACCGGUAGCCUGCCUUUGAAACUGGGUGACUUGAGGACAGGAGAGGGGAGUGGAAUUCCCAGUGUAGCGGUGAAAUGCGUAGAUAUUGGGAGGAACACCAGUGGCGAAGGCGGCUCUCUGGCCUGUUUCUGACGCUGAGGCGCGAAAGCGUGGGUAGCGAACGGGAUUAGAUACCCGGGUAGUCCCUGAGCGGGCUGGCAAGG
rnacentral:rRNA from 1 species